rnacentral:rRNA from 1 species
AACGGAUCUCUUGGUUCUGGCAUCGAUGAAGAACGCAGCGAAAUGCGAUAAGUAAUGCGAAUUGCAGAAUUCUCGUGAGUCAUCGAAUCUUUGAACGCACAUUGCGCCCUUUGGUAUUCCGAAGGGCAUGCCUGUUCGAGCGUCAUUUU